GUUUUCCAUGUUUAUUUCCUGUUUUAUUUUGGUAGUGGUUUCCAUUUUUUGUUUCGUCAUGUCUUUUGCCUGUUUUACAUUUCUGAUCACGUGCCCUGUCAGCUGUUUUCCAUUCAGUCAUUAGGUUCCAGCAUUUAAACUCCAGUACUAACCUGUUCCGUUUGCCAGUUAGUCUUUGCUCAUGCACCCGGUUUGUCGGCCCCAGUGACGUCUAGUAGGUUCUCGGUUUAUUUUGACUCGUGCCUGGACCUGAGCCUGGUUUUGCCUUGUCCCUGCCUGUACCUCUGCUAGACCUUUGGAUUCCUGGUUUGUUGACGAUUUCUUUUUUCACGUUUUUGCCUGCUACUUGGAUUUAAAUUCAAUAAACCCUGUUUUGUUUUGAGACCUGUCUCCCGAGCUAUGCGUUUGGGUCCGUUACCCAUGUUCGCUUACGCUGAGCCCUGAUACUAUAUAACUAUUUAGGAGUCACCUGUCACUUGAUAGAUGACACCUCUCUAGAGAGACAUUAUGCAGCAUUGGCUUGUAGACCUCUUAAGGGCUCAUGCACCUUUGAUGUCCUUGCUGCAGCAUUAGAGAAAAUUACAUACAUUCCGAGUAUCACAUCAGGGAAAAAGUGACCAGGAUAAUGUUAUGGGAAAAAUUGUCUCUUCCUUAUUUUUAUGUGUUUUCCUUAUUUCUAUGCAUUUCUAUGCAGUUAUUAUACGAGUUAUGACUUAUGUUCUGCAAUUAAUAUCUUAUGUUUUGUCUUACUGUAUGCAUUUGACAUUUCACCUAGAUUGUUCAAUGGUUGUCUCUGUCUGAUAGACUCUCAACUCUAGCUCCCAAACCCAAGGUCGGGGAGUUGUGUCUCUGUCUGUUGAGACUUGGUGCUCCUUUCUCACAGAUAGUUGGACGUCAGCGAUGCAGGUGUGAGAAAGUAAAAAUCUUCACACACACUGCGACAGGGAGGAGAUGGUGCAUGUAAUUUGAUUGGGUUGGAAAGACAUUCCACCCUAGUCGGACAGAGAAGCUAAAAGGCAGAAGCAACUUGAGGAUCGUGGGCUCUUUGCAUCACACCUUCGUGGUGUGUGCACUGAUCUCCCCAGCUGGUUUUUGGUUUGUUGAUGUGCACGAUCAACAUCCAUGCUUUUGAUUUGCUUUCCCCAUUAUUUUUUUUUUUAAUUAUUUCAAUAAAUCGCACAAAAGGACAACUCUCUCUCAUCUACUUCUUUAUGGAAAAUUUCCACCACAGAAAUUGGUGUCACGAACAGGAUCCCGCGGCAGGUCGUCUGGACGGUGUGACCAGGGACGAUAGUCCUGAGGACUAGGGUCGCUCAGCCUCCAAACCUCUACAGACAUUCAGAGCUGGGAGGACUGCUCACCCGUCUGGAUCGCCUCUGACGAGAUCCACGAACUCAGAUUCAAACUCAAAUCCUAAUUUGGCUCGGCGAGAGAGAUUCCUUUUGAUUCGGGAAAAAACAAAAAGAUUGGAACUUUUAUUUUUAAUUUAGCUGAAACAUUUCAAUUGGUUGAAAAAAAAAAGAAAGAAAAAAAAAUCUUCUAUUUGGUUGAAACACUAAAUUUGAUUAGGAAAAUUAAUUAGAUCGAGAAAAAAAAAUCCCAAUAAUACAUGUUCUUAAUUAGGUGAAAGUCUGCCCUGGUGGUCGAGACGGUGGUUGCUAAGGGUUGGCUCGUGGGACCGAGCUUUUUGUCUGUACUGAGGAUACAGACCAGUGUGCAGAUCUGAGCGCAGUCCAAAGGGAGUGGACAAGAAAUAAAAGACGGCUUCUGAAAUACGGAGCGCGUUUGCAGGGGGAAGUGGUUUUGAGAUACGAGGGACCCGGGUCUUAGAGGGGCCUGACGGUGAGGGACCACUUCCGAGAACCCUGUCGCUGAUCUGAGCGGUUCCCUUUCUACGGAGACGUCCGUGGAAGAGAAAUUUCGAAAAAAGGUUCCGGCCGGAACACAAAAAAGUCUUAGGCAGGAAACCGCCGGGACUCUGAAAGAUGGGUUCGGGGCGAUCUAAGUCUCCACCACCAGACUGCAGCAUUACAAAAGUAAAAAGUAAUUAAAAGUAAAAAGUAAAUAUGGUUAUUAGUGCGUUUCAUGUUUCCAUGAGUGGGAAACUGGUUAUGGGUUCAAAAGGAGAAUCACUUAGUGUAAAAGACAUAUGCACCUUAAAAAGAAAAGUUAGAUACAAAAGAUGAGAUUUGAAAAAGCAAAACUAUGAAAACUAAAGCCCUAAAAGAAACAAAAGAGUGAUGAGAGUAACAGAAAAAAAGGAGAAAACAACUCUGGGGAAGAAUUGUUUGCACUCUGCCACACACACACACACACACACACACACAAACACACACAUCAUGUCAAGAGCAAAUGCUCCCAUUCUUUCUGCUCUCUAUUCUAAUGCAGAACUGAGUGCGAUGAGGGUAAAUCCGGAUCUGGACUUCUUUCCCACCAUCAGCAGAAGAACCGAAGGAGAAGAAGCGCCGACCAACAACCAGAACAGGGUGGAAGCUCUGACACCACAGCAGCUGGAGGACACAGACCACAGCAUGGACGCCUCACAGACUCCUACAACGUCUGCAGCCAUCACGUUCUGGGCUCAUCAGAUGAACCAGCUACUACAAGCGUGUGUGUCUGACACAGACACCUGCUUAUGACAAUCAGCAAAGGAAAACAGGACAGAGAAAUAGCAGAGAAGACGUGCUCUGACACAGACACUGGUUGAAACAACAGGAGAGGCUUCAGACGUGAUCGGCCCAAAAGAGCUGCAUGUGAGGAUCCAGGAAAGGUCUGUCAUCGAGGAACAACUGUCCCAUUGAAAGGCUUCACCCGCUGGCGCUCACAUCAGACUGAUGGUUGGGGAAGGAGGAAGGUGACGGUUCCUUUUCACGUGACGUACAAGACGGUACCGCAAACACACACACACACAUUCAUACACGCAAUGAAGAAACACGCUUACAGCUGAUACACGCUCAAAUUCAUGUUCAUGCUUAUCUGCUCGCAAUGAAGAAUCGCUUUUUGCUCAAAAAAAAAUCCCAGAGUGAUUUUCAAAUUAUGACAAACAGCUAAAUGACAACUGCUGCAUGACUUUACAGUCUGAUGGGUUUAAACUAUUUUAACUUGCAACAAAUUCAGUAAUAAAAUCCUUCAUGUUUCUAAAAAUACUUACAAUACUCAUACUUACACAAUAUAGGUUUGUCUGGCCAGACUAUAGAAAAAACAAAAAAACAGACUAUAGAAAAACAAAACCAGACUGUAGAAAAACAAAACAGACUAUAGGAAGACUGAGACUGACUGAAACAGACUAUUAAUGAUUAUUAAAGGGAAGACGACUAUUAGAGAGAAGUAAUAAUAAUUACUGUACGUACCAGACUAUUAAAGAAAACUUAUUUUUUCACUGUCUUAUGCAACAUCUGACAGCGAGACACCUUGAGAUUUAUUGUUGCUUUCAAAUUUAUGCCCAGUUAAAUUUUUAGGAAGACAUCUGAUGUGUAGUUUAGGUAUUUGAUGUAUUUCCACUCCAGACGGAGUGCAGGUUACGUCUACAGACAUUCUAAAUAAUCCCUCUUUUGUUGGUGUUAACUUCAGCUCAGCUGUGCUCUUAUCAUUGGCUGCUGAGGGGGGGCUGUAACUGAGGCCCUCACACAGGCUGCAUCACAGCUUGUUUAUGAUUUCACACACACAAACACACAAACUGACCUCAACUUCCCUCUUUUGGGAUGAACACAGGUCUGCGCUUGCGAUUUCUUUUCCUAACGAACAAAAAGAUUUUUGAUUUUUAUUCUACAGUUCCACACGUCCCUCUGUGAAAACAUGAUGGAGACAGAUGACAGGACGUGGGUCCUUUCGUGAACAGAUGUCAACGGGGUGGAGACUGGUGAACGACUUCCGACCCCAUGUGACGUAUUUACCCACAUUACAUGCCUUUGUUUUUAUUUUUAUUUUUCAGAGGACGCUCUGACCCAACACUCAGCCUCACAGGAAGCACUGCUUCCCUGUGGCUCACACACAUAUGAUGUAGGUUUGAUCAGAGGAUGUGAACCAGUGGUCAUCACACCUGAAUCUGACCACAGACCAUGUAAACAACAACACCCUCUUAAAGGAGCCAUAGAUGGCGUUACUGCAGACACCACUAAGCUACAGAAACAUUGGAUGCUACAGGCCACAAAGAGAGCCUGUCUAAAUUACACUUUGUUCAGACAAAGGUUAUUUUCUGGGUCAUUGUAAUUACAGCUGAUGGCAAAUCCAUCUCACCCAACUGAGUUAAAGCAAUUUGAAACCUGCCUAAACCGUGCACGUAUGAACAGCUGAUGUUUUUUCUAGGUCUUUGUUCUUAUUGUAGGACCUUCAGUCCUAACUUUACCUUCUCUGAGGCCCCACUCAGGGUUCUGAUGCAGACGUCUUCAUCGUCCACUUCUUGUCUCACGUGGACGUCUGAGGCUGAACAACGUUCACUGACCUCAUGCUUGCUCUUCAGUCGACUCCUACUUUGGGUCUUCCUGAUCUGACCCUACGCGACCUUUCACUCAAACAGUGGAUGAGAAAUCAGGUUGUACGACUUCUGUUCUUUUGUCCUCAUUCUGUGUCUUUGAUUCUUUUGGAAUAGAUCCCACGUUCUACAGCCUGAUGGCUUAGAUGCAACACCACCUUGCUCAACAUGCUGAACAUUACUAUCAAGAGUCCGUCUUGAAGUCUGGCUCUUUGCUAAGACACUACUCUGCUCAGGCUGCAGAGUUGAUCGCGUUGACUGAAGCUAGUAAACUAGCAGAAGGAGAGUCUGUUACCAUCUACAGACUCCACAGAUGCUCUGUGGAAGCAUAGGAAGCUUUUGAAGUCUGAUUGCAAACCUAUCUUACAUCAUGAUAAGGUUCUGCUUUGCUGGACGCUGUCCUGCUACAGCACCUACAGCUAAUGCUGUUUGUAACUGUCCAACAUCAGUGAAUACUUUGUUUCUGCCGACAUGCAGCUGCAGACGCUGCUGCGAAGGUCGCUGCCCAACAACCCCUCCCUCACCUGAUCCUUGUUCCCUCUCUCCAACUCUCUCUAUCCUUUCCUUCCUCUCUCCCUGUGCUUUAAACAUUUUUUCUACCUCACAGGAACGCAGACUCUGGCUGACGAAUGGUUCCACCUGUAGCCAUGGAGUCUGGUUUAGGCCUGAUGACAAGCCGUGCCGCCCAAACACCUUUUCCCCAUAAUUCAGAUUUCCCAACAGGUGAAAACAGUCAACAGGACCAUUACACCAUCCAACCAGGAGACUGGGUGAUCGUUAAGGACUUCAGGAGGAAGCAUUGGGACUCCACGGUGGCGAGGCCCCUUCCAGGUCCUUCUGACGACCAACACGGCUGUGAAUAUCGCAGAAAGAGCGACUUGGAUCAACUCCAUCCAGGAAGGUCCCGGAUCCGACAGACGACCCUCCAUCUACACCACACGGAGAAUUCACCACUAACGAAAAGAAUUAAGAAGGACGACCCUCGCUGUGCUCACACACGCACUGAGGCGAGGCUGCGUUGACCGUUCAGCUAAAGGUGUGAGCCAAGCGCCGCCUGAAGCUGCACCGGUGAAUCACACUAUCAGACCAACAUCUACACACACGUUCCUGAGAAAACACACACACGAGCAGCCUUGAGUUGCCGACGCUGGACGACGUGUAGACUCUUCACAUCACGGGAGUGACAGUGACUCAGACGACAUUGGGAGAAAACCUGGCGGUGAUAACGAAUCCCAAGUGUCUCUGUGAUCAGCUGAUCACAACCUGAAGAACCCCAACGAACUGUCAAUACUUCAACACACAGAUGAAAGACAACACAAGCGGAAAUAUGCAUCAUCAUUCUGGUUAAAUCCCUGAAUCUCCUAUUCGAUCUAGACGCAAAUGUACAAUUAAAGAUCCGAAAGUAUGAAAUCUAUCUUAAGAUUAUAUGAUACAGAACCCCACCGGAAACCUAUGGCUAUUAUACAUUAAUUGUAUUUAUUACAUUACAAUUGAAUGGCCAUAGACACGUUGUUAGCAGAGAAAAGAGGCGUUUGUGUUAUGUUCGGAGAGGCAUGUUGUACUUACAUCCUGAAUAACACUGAUUCUAAUGGUAUUGUGGCGAAGGCGCUCCACGGCCUUCAGAAUCUCAGCUAACUCUGGUAUAGAUUCUUCCUCUUGGAAUUGACUAGAUGAAAUGUCUGAAAAAAUGGAAAUCUGUUCUCAUGUCCACAGCUGUUUCUUUUAUCACUGAGAUGGCUGUGAUUCUUUUUUUUGGUUUUUACGUUAUCCCACUGGUUAGAGGUCUCAUCACGCGUGUGACCUCAGCAACACUCUCGUAUGAGAUGACACAAUGCACUAUGUUCAAAAACCCCAACUCUAACUCACUUAAUGACUUUGACGAUGGUAUGGGCUCAUUUUCUUCACAUGCCGAUACAGCGCUCUCGAAUUGAAAAAACUACGCUCACCCCAUAGUGAUCUUGUUCCAAAAACGUUUUGGAGAUGUCAUGAAAGAGCCUGAGCUGAUUGCAGCAGCUAAGAUUCAGAACAUCAUGGACUACAGAGGAGGGCAUCUUAAAAGCUGGUAAAUAUGAGAAUGUUUAUGAAUUGUGAGCUAGCCUAUACAUAGAAGGAUAAGAAUAAUGCGCAUUUGUUCGAAAACCAUGUAUCUUUCCACAGGCCUUGAAUUCAUCAGACAUCACCUAGACACAGAGUUGGAUGAUGUCAGCACAAAAAGCAGCCUCUCUAAUGAAGAUGAUUUCUUUGGAUCCAUAGGGUCAGGAAAGACAGAAGCAGAAGGGCUGGAUGGGUACCUUUGAUGUCCAUCUACUGUCCUAGAGGUAUGGAUCUAUUGCAUACCAUGGCUUUUUAGUCAUGGUAUGGGCUCCUGUUCACUGCUACAUGAUCACAGCUUUUGAAGUUUAACCCUCACUUUACUGAAUGAAGAAAACAUGCAGACACAGUUUAUUGUAAAGUGAGCCCUCUGUUGUUUUCUGUUCAGUCUGCUGUGCCAUUUGGAGGUCAACUCAAUACACUGGAGAAGUUUAUAUUGUUCAAAAAUGUAUGCUUUAUGAUAUUUAUUUCAUUCAUAUUAUUUUCUUAUUUGGAAUUUCUGCAUUAUUAAUUUCAUUCGCCUCAGUGCUUACUGUAUAUAAUUUUUGAAAGAAAUAAUUAAAUAAAUC